rnacentral:tRNA from 1 species
AGUGGUUAAGUAGGAGCUUGGCUGCUAACCAAAAGGCUGGUAGUUCGAAUCUACCAGCUGCUC